rnacentral:lncRNA from 1 species
GUACUGAGAUUAAAGGUUUGUGCCACCACCCCAGCUAGUUAUUGGUUCAGUUUUAUGGAAGGUCUUUUGUCAUAUUGGAGAAAAAGGUUUGUAGACAUAUGAGAACUAGGCAAUCUGCUGAUCCACACUGAGUUAGAGCCGUUUUGUCUCCUUAUCUCAAGCUACUAAGACUUGAUCUCGGUCAGUUGCCUGACCACAGCUGACCCACUGUGUGGUUGCUAGGGGUAGGGGACUGGGAUAGAGGGGACUUCGGUAGAGGAGGACUGAUUUGGGGUCUGCAGAGCCCAGAACAAAGCAAAGCUGGGGCAACCAUCCAGGCUAGGUCCGUCUGGUGGGACCUACCUAGAGUUGGACAGACCUUGGCGUCUCUGUGUUUUUUGUUUGUUUGUUUGUUUUUCGUACCCAGGAGUGUCUGGAAAAAUUCACCGUGAGUCUGAACCACAAACUGGACAGCCAUGCUGUGAGUGUGGGGGGUGGGGGUGGCUGCGGGUGAGGGAAUGGAUGGGGGUAGGGUUGAUGGGGAUCCUGACUGUCACUUGUCAACUUCUUCCAACAGGAGCUUCUUGAUGCUACUCAACAUACACUGCAGCAGCAAAUCCAGACUCUGGUCAAGGAGUGAGACGGGAGGGAAAGAGGGGCCUUAUCCCCCAGA